rnacentral:rRNA from 1 species
UACAGAGGGUGCAAGCGUUGUUCGGAAUUACUGGGCGUAAAGCGCGUGUAGGCGGCUCUGUAAGUCGGAUGUGAAAUCCCACGGCUCAACCAUGGAAGUGCAUUCGAAACUACAGGGCUAGAGUUCUGGAGAGGAAGGUGGAAUGCUUGGUGUAGAGGUGAAAUUCGUAGAUAUCAAGCGGAACACCGGUGGCGAAGGCGGCCUUCUGGACAGUAACUGACGCUGAGACGCGAAAGCGUGGGGAGCAAACAGG